rnacentral:rRNA from 1 species
AUUGAACGCUGGCGGCAGGCCUAACACAUGCAAGUCGAACGGUAGCACAGAGAGCUUGCUCUCGGGUGACGAGUGGCGGACGGGUGAGUAAUGUCUGGGAAACUGCCCGAUGGAGGGGGAUAACUACUGGAAACGGUAGCUAAUACCGCAUAACGUCGCAAGACCAAAGUGGGGGACCUUCGGGCCUCACACCACCGGAUGUGCCCGGAUGGGAUUAGCUAGUAGGUGGGGUAAUGGCUCACCUAGGCGACGAUCCCUAGCUGGUCUGAGAGGACGGACAAGCCAGACUGGAACUGAGGCACGGUUCAGACGCCUCCGGGAGGCAGCAGUGAGGAAUAUUGCACAGUGGGCGCAAGCCUGAUGCAGCCAUGCCGCGUGUAUGAAGAAGGCCUUCGGGUUGUAAAGUACUUUCAGCGGGGAGGAAGGCGGUGAAGUUAAUAACUUCACCGAUUGACGUUACCCGCAGAAGAAGCACCGGCUAACUCCGUGCCAGCAGCCGCCGUAA